UCUUUCUAAUACAAUGCUAGUAUAGAUGACUUCCAAUCAUCCCAUCUUGGUUAAACCCCAAGGAAAGAC
rnacentral:tRNA from 1 species